rnacentral:rRNA from 1 species
ACUCCUACGGGAGGCAGCAGUGGGGAAUCUUGGACAAUGGGCGCAAGCCUGAUCCAGCCAUGCCGCGUGAGUGAUGAAGGCCCUAGGGUCGUAAAGCUCUUUCGCCAGGGAUGAUAAUGACAGUACCUGGUAAAGAAACCCCGGCUAACUCC